GCCGCGUUAGCCUAAUGGUAGGGCGUCGCUUUCCUAGCGCGGUCCAGGCGGAGAUUGCGGGUUCGAGUCCCGUACGCGGUA